ACUCCUACGGGAGGCAGCAGUGGGGAAUAUUGCACAAUGGGCGCAAGCCUGAUGCAGCCAUGCCGCGUGUGUGAAGAAGGCCUUGGGUUGUAAAGCACUUUCAGUAGGGAGGAAGGUAGUGUAGUUAACACCUGCAUUAUUUGACGUUACCUACAGAAGAAGCACCGGCUAACUCCGUGCCAGCAGCCGCGGUAAUACGGAGGGUGCGAGCGUUAAUCGGAAUUACUGGGCGUAAAGCGCAUGCAGGCGGCCUGUUAAGUCAGAUGUGAAAGCCCGGGGCUUAACCUCGGAAUUGCAUUUGAAACUGGCAGGCUAGAGUCUUGUUAGAGGGGGUA
rnacentral:rRNA from 1 species